rnacentral:rRNA from 1 species
CAGACUCUACGGAGGCAGCAGUAGGGAAUCUUCGGCAAUGGGGGCAACCCUGACCGAGCAACGCCGCGUGAGUGAAGAAGGUUUUCGGAUCGUAAAGCUCUGUUGUAAGAGAAGAACGAGUGUGAGAGUGGAAAGUUCGCACUGUGACGGUAACUUACCAGAAAGGGACGGCUAACUACGUGCCAGCAGCCGCGGUAAUACGUAGGUCCCGAGCGUUAUCCGGAUUUAUUGGGCGUAAAGCGAGCGCAGGCGGUUAGAUAAGUCUGAAGUUAAAGGCUGUGGCUUAACCAUAGUACGCUUUGGAAACUGUUUAACUUGAGUGCAGAGGGGGAGAGUGGAAUUCCAUGUGUAGCGGUGAAAUGCGUAGAUAUAUGGAGGAACACCGGUGGCGAAAGCGGCUCUCUGGUCUGUAACUGACGCUGAGGCUCGAAAGCGUGGGGAGCAAACAGGAUUAGAUACCCUGGUAGUCCACGCCGUAAACGAUGAGUGCUAGGUGUUGGGUCCUUUCCGGGACUCAGUGCCGCAGCUAACGCAUUAAGCACUCCGCCUGGGGAGUACGACCGCAAGGUUGAAACUCAAAGGAAUUGACGGGGGCCCGCACAAG